ensembl:lncRNA
CUUGCUGGAGAUCCCUGCAUGCUUAAGACUUUCUGGAGGUAACACUGUUAAAAUGGCAGUUGAGCUGACAAUCCUCUGAUGUGGGGCAUAUCCAGUAGCAGAGCUGUAAUCCUCAAGGGUCAGCUGCUCACCUCUGAAGUGCAUUUCCCAGCACACAGUACUGCUGGAAGAUGAGGUUGUCCAUUCCUCAGAGAAGUGAACUGUAAGGAAAGAUUGUGAACGGGAGCCUUGUGUCUUCGGUUUUCCCAUCGCCUGCUUGAUCUGACAUGACUUCUGUGUGCAAGUGCCAGGCCUCCAGCUGAAGAGGUCACCAAGCUCUCCCUUUGGAAGAUUGAUUCAGAGACUGCCACGUUUCACUGUCAAAAAUAACUCUUGCUGUUUAGCCUGUGUUUUCACUGUCAGGAGCACUUCAGUCUGUAUUUGCCCUUUCUUAAGUUUCUUGCAUAGCCUUGAAUACUCUUGAAGAAGUUCUUAUGAAAAAGGUUCUGUAAGUCUUCAUCCUUGCUGGUGUUUUUUUGUUUAAGUCUCACUUCCCCUCCCCUUCACAAGGCACUAUUUAUAGCUAGCAGCGCCAGUCAUAUUUUGCAGAAGUGGAAAUUUGAACAAGUGAGAGCCAAAGUGCAAGUUGAUAUCAGGAAGAUGCCUCAAAUAUACCUGGGACGCUCAGCACUCCUGUCUUCAUGUGAGCAAACGAUUGUUGCUCUGGCUGUUUGCAUUUGCCUAACCUUCUGUCAUCAAAUAAAAUCACAAACAAGAUAAAAUUUCUGUUGGAGUCAAAUAUGAGUGGAAUCCCAAGAAAGACUCUAAAGGUCAGAUCAGCAGUUAUAUGAUAUAUUGCUCCCCAGUAUCUACAAAACCUUGGUGACAUUAAACAGUACAAAGUGGAGUUUGCUAGAAGGUACUUGAGUGUUGUAUAUUUAAAGAACAAGCUGUUACCUGGAAAUAAUAAAUAAUGGUGAAAGGCUUCC